AUUGAACGCUGGCGGCAUGCCUUACACAUGCAAGUCGAACGGUAGCGGGCCUUCGGGUGCCGACGAGUGGCGAACGGGUGAGUAAUAUAUCGGAACGUACCUUUCAGUGGGGGAUAACGUAGCGAAAGUUACGCUAAUACCGCAUAUUCUGUGCGCAGGAAAGCAGGGGACCUUCGGGCCUUGCGCUGAUUGAGCGGCCGAUAUAAGAUUAGCUAGUUGGUGAGGUAAAGGCUCACCAAGGCGACGAUCUGUAGCGGGUCUGAGAGGAUGAUCCGCCACACUGGAACUGAGACACGGUCCAGACUCCUACGGGAGGCAGCAGUGGGGAAUUUUGGACAAUGGGGGCAACCCUGAUCCAGCCAUGCCGCGUGAGUGAAGAAGGCCUUCGGGUUGUAAAGCUCUUGCGGCCGGGAAGAAAUCGUAUGGGCUAAUACCCUGGGCGGAUGACGGUACCGGCAUAAGAAGCACCGGCUAACUACGUGCCAGCCGCCACGGUAAAAC
rnacentral:rRNA from 1 species